CUCCGGUGAUGGCUGAUACAGGGAGGCAGUGGAGGGGAAACCCUUCUUGAUACUGGCCUUGUCAGAACCUCCCCGGAACUAAAAAUGCAGAGGAACUGGGGACAGUAAAGAAGCACUGGCCCUUGGGGUCCUUGGGUGGUUGUCAACCGCAGGGGCCUGUGAGAGCCCUGUGGCACCGCCAUUCUCAUGGACCCUCAACGCCAGUGCCUGCGGCUGCUCUGUUUCCCAGACACACC